rnacentral:lncRNA from 1 species
AGUAUUGGCACUGGUUGCGGUGGUGCUGGUCGAUGGGACAGUUCCUGUUGGCACGGCAUGUCAGGUAGAUGAAACUCAAGAGAAAAGGUGUGGAUAAAUGAAACUAGCCCAUGAUGAACCUGUUUUCUCCGUGACCACAAUAUUAACCAGGAUGAAUGGCGGUGGCAGUGGGCCUGCAUCACAGGUUGCAGCAGAUGUUCUCAAUAUUUCUAUUAAAAUUUCCUUAUUUCCAUAUGCAAGAGGAGCCCCAGAGCUGCAUCCUUAUGGUAGCUACCAUGCCGUGAUGUAAGCUGCCAUUCACUGGGGAGCUUUGGCAAUAGAAUUGGCUAGAUCAGGAAGCCUAUGUCAACUAUGGAACAACAACUUGCAGCUCAUCUCUAUUGAUGAUGGAAUCUCGCUAUGUCACCAGGCUGGAGUGCAGUGGCGCAACCUCGGCUCAGCGCAACAUCCGCCUCCCGGGUUCAAGUGAUUCUCCUACCUCAGCCUCCUGAGUAGCUGGGAUUACAGGAAUCUAAUGACCAUUGAACUGUGGCCAUGACUUCAAUUACAAGUAUUUUCUUCACUAAUGUCAGACUGUGGGCCUUUGUAUAUACACUUUUAACAAACUUUUUGGAAGUGCAAUACAUAUCGCAACAACUUCUCAAUGCUGAAUCAUAGUAUUGGAAGACAUUUUAAGCAACAAUUAAACUCAACUUAUUUACUACCAAUAAUGUACAUAAGUCAGCUGAAGUGAGGAUAACAUGAAUAGCACAAAUACAUUAUGAUUGCUGCCUGGCCAACAGUAAUUAUAAGAAACUGUCAGUUUUGAGAUGUGUCUUGAUUUCAGAGAUGUUAAAAAAGUUUGUAAGUUACCAUUGAUAAAAUAUGAGUUUGCUUCCACAAAUAUUCUUUCUUCUGUCCUUCUGGAACUCAAGAGUAAACAUAUAUUAGAUUUUCUCACCAUUUCAUGCAUGCUGGUUCCUAGGCUACUCUCUGAGUCAUUUUUUUUUUCUUAUCUGCCCUCCAGUUCACUAGUUCUGUCAUUUUCUGGGUCUGAUCUGCUGCAAAUGCAAUACAUUGAGUUUUAAAUUUCAGUCAUUGUGUUUUCAUUUCUAGAAAUUUCAUUUGACUCUUUCUCAAAUUACUUUUCCAUUUUUUUUGUAGUUUCCUAUCCCUGGAGAUAUUUUCAAUCAUGCCAUUUAAUUUUUUAAAUACGCAAGUGUAGUUUUAUAAUUUGUGUCUGAUAAUUCUAAUAUCUGAAGUCUUAGUAGGUCUGUUUCAGUUGUCCUGUAAUUAUGCAUGUUUUUGCCCAUGUUGCUUUGUUUCCUUGUAUGCUUGGUUAUCUUUCUUACUGCCCUUGCAAAAUUAUUUGGAGAGUCCUGGAGGCUUAAAUGAAGAUAACUUUUAGGAAUAAUUUGCAUUUGCUUUUGCCGAGGAUCUUGGGAUCAUUUCAACCAAAAUCUUAGCUUGAAAUUCCGCAAUCAAUCAAGGUGAUGAGAACCUGGUCAGUAAAUCCUAAUGAGGGCCAGGCUGUGGCCAAAGAUUUUUAGACAGAUGUUUCCCUCCUUUGCCAUUUCUCUUUUCUUUCCUCCUCUGCUCCUCUUAGUGUCCAGACAACCUUCAUGGAAGUCCUUGGGGUGGGUGGGAAAUGAGGACGGCAGGUUUCAUUCUAGGUAUAGCCCUUUGAGGUCUAACUUAAUGCAGAGAGAGUUUUCUGGUCUAUGUGCCACCUUACAUGGGAUCUUGAGCCUUGAUUUCUAAACCCCUUGCCUUUGAUGUUUCAGAAUUGAAGCUUAAAUUUGCCAACAGGCAAAUGUCCUCAAGGCAAAUUGGCUUAGGUGUUCGAUAUUCUUCUUACCAGAAAGGUAAACUUGGGUUUUUUACUUCACCCAGGAUUUGGCAUGACAGUUCCCCAUUAUCUUGUCAGCUUAGUGCUUUAAGUGAUUGCAUUUAAAAAAAUUCUGCAUUUUCAGUUUUUAGCAGGAGGAAUGGCCUCAACUAGUGGUUUUCAACUGGGGAUGAUUUUUUUCCCCUAGGGGACAUUUGAUAAUGUUUGGAGAUGUUUUAGUUGUUAGAACUGGGGUUGGGGGAACUACUGUCAUCUGGUGGGGAGAGACCGGCAAUGCUGUUGAUCUUACUAUAAUGCACAGGCCACCCCCAACAACAAACAAAUUACAUAGCCCCAAAUAUCAAUAAUGCCAAGGUCCAAAUAACCUAACCUUCCAUUACUGAAAAUAGAAGUUCAAGAAGAUAGUUUAUAAUUUAAAAAUUUUUAGGUCUUAAUAAGUUGUCAUACUUUCACAGGUUUUAUUUCAUACUAAGUAAUUUAUUUCAAAUUUUACAUUCCAAUUACAGAAAAUUUUCUAAGCCAGUUUUUGUUCUUCAUGAGUAUUACUAUCAAGGUCACAUUUUUCAUCUAGUAUGUUUUACCCUGGUACUUGUUGGCAGGGUCAGGACUAAGGUGAGAUGCGCAAGGCAUUUGCCUCACACAAAAUGCACAAUGAAUAAAAUGUCAAAACUUUAAAUAAAGACAGAAUCACUAAAAGUACUUUGCCAUAUUGGAACCUGAGG